CUAGCGAGAUAUGUGAAUUGGGGUUCUUGGAAAUGAUUGUGAGGUUAAAGAGAGUGGAAAGAUGGGAACUGGAGGAGUCGGGAGAUGUGGUGAGGUUAAGGCGGUGGAUACGCAGGGAGGUGAUGGUAAAGGAAGGGCGGUGAGGGCGGUAAAGGAUGUAAAGAGCAGCACCGGCUAUGGCAGCGAGGAGGAGGAGCAAGAGGAUGGUGAGGAUUGUCCAGAAACAACAGCAGCAGCAGAUGUUUCGGCCACUACGGCUACGGUGGCGGCGAGUGUGAGGUUGUGGACGGUAAGGUAGGCGGGAAGUAGGGUUGUAGAGGUGGGAUUUGUUUGUGGUGGCAGGUGGUGGGUUGUUUGUGGUGGUUGUGGUGGGGUUCGUGGCGGUGCCAUUGGCUGCUGGUUUUGAAGAAGGAAAGACCUUGUCUGACAUUUUUCUUUUUCUUUUUCUUUUUUGGCCAAGCAAGAG
rnacentral:lncRNA from 1 species